AGGAAAUCCCCCACACUGGUACUGAGACACGGACCAGAUUCCUACGGAGGCAGCAGUAAGGAAUAUUGGUCAAUGGGCGAAGCCUGAACCAGCCAUGCCGCGUGCAGGAUGACUGCCCUAUGGGUUGUAAACUGCUUUUGUCCAGGAAUAAACCUAAAUACGUGUAUUUAGCUGAAUGUACUGGAAGAAUAAGGAUCGGCUAACUCCGUGCCAGCAGCCGCGGUAAUACGGAGGAUCCGAGCGUUAUCCGGAUUUAUUGGGUUUAAAGGGUGCGUAGGCGGCCUAUUAAGUCAGGGGUGAAAUACGGUGGCUCAACCAUCGCAGUGCCUUUGAUACUGAUGGGCUUGAAUCCAUUUGAAGUGGGCGGAAUAAGACAAGUAGCGGUGAAAUGCAUAGAUAUGUCUUAGAACUCCGAUUGCGAAGGCAGCUCACUAAGCUGGUAUUGACGCUGAUGCACGAAAGCGUGGGGAUCGAACAGGAUUAGAUACCCUGGUAGUCCACGCCCUAAACGAUGAUAACUCGAUGUUGGCGAUAGACAGCCAGCGUCUUAGCGAAAGCGUUAAGUUAUCCACCUGGGGAGUACGCCCGCAAGGGUGAAACUCAAAGGAAUUGACGGGGGCCCGCACAAGCGGAGGAGCAUGUGGUUUAAUUCGAUGAUACGCGAGGAACCUUACCCGGGCUUGAAAGUUAGUGAAGGAUGCAGAGACGCAUCCGUCCUUCGGGACACGAAACUAGGUGCUGCAUGGCUGUCGUCAGCUCGUGCCGUGAGGUGUUGGGUUAAGUCCCGCAACGAGCGCAACCCCUAUGUUUAGUUGCCAGCAUUUAAGGUGGGGACUCUAAACAGACUGCCUGUGCAAACAGUGAGGAAGGUGGGGACGACGUCAAGUCAUCAUGGCCCUUACGUCCGGGGCUACACACGUGCUACAAUGGAUGGUACAGCGGGCAGCUACAUAGCAAUAUGGUGCUAAUCUCUAAAAGCCAUUCACAGUUCGGAUUGGGGUCUGCAACUCGACCCCAUGAAGUUGGAUUCGCUAGUAAUCGCGUAUCAGCAAUGACGCGGUGAAUACGUUCCCGGGCCUUGUACACACCGCCCGUCAAGCCAUGAAAGUUGGGGGUACCUAAAGCAUGUGACCGCAAGGAGCGUGUUAGGGA
rnacentral:rRNA from 1 species